rnacentral:rRNA from 1 species
CCUACGGGGGGCAGCAGUGGGGGAUAUUGGACAAUGGGGGGAACCCUGAUCCAGCGACGCCGCGUGAGUGAAGAAGUAUUUCGGUAUGUAAAGCUCUAUCAGCAGGGAAGAAAAGAAUGACGGUACCUGACUAAGAAGCCCCGGCUAACUACGUGCCAGCAGCCGCGGUAAUACGUAGGGGGCAAGCGUUAUCCGGAUUUACUGGGUGUAAAGGGAGCGCAGACGGCAAUGCAAGCCUGGAGUGAAAGGCGGGGGCCCAACCCCCGGACUGCUCUGGGAACUGUAUAGCUAGAGUGCAGGAGAGGCAAGUGGAAUUCCUAGUGUAGCGGUGAAAUGCGUAGAUAUUAGGAGGAACACCAGUGGCGAAGGCGGCUUGCUGGACUGUAACUGACGUUGAGGCUCGAAAGCGUGGGGAGCAAACAGGAUUAGAUACCCCAGUAGUC